AUGCUUUCUAAAAAAAUAAGCUUCGUAUAUUUUGAAACACUGUUUAAUUCAUUUCAAAUAAAUGACCAUAAAAUAAGUUUUUCAAUCGUGUUAUUAUAUUGUUUUUACUGCGUUCCUAUUAUCUCAGUUUUGUUGUGGGUUUUUGGUGGUUUGCAGUGUUCUUUUACAUGCAUUAUAUUUGUACUGGUUUAG